rnacentral:rRNA from 1 species
GGGUGCUUGCACCUGGUGGCGAGUGGCGAACGGGUGAGUAAUACAUCGGAACAUGUCCUGUAGUGGGGGAUAGCCCGGCGAAAGCCGGAUUAAUACCGCAUACGAUCUACGGAUGAAAGCGGGGGACCUUCGGGCCUCGCGCUAUAGGGUUGGCCGAUGGCUGAUUAGCUAGUUGGUGGGGUAAAGGCCUACCAAGGCGACGAUCAGUAGCUGGUCUGAGAGGACGACCAGCCACACUGGGACUGAGACACGGCCCAGACUCCUACGGGAGGCAGCAGUGGGGAAUUUUGGACAAUGGGCGAAAGCCUGAUCCAGCAAUGCCGCGUGUGUGAAGAAGGCCUUCGGGUUGUAAAGCACUUUUGUCCGGAAAGAAAUCCUUGGCUCUAAUACAGUCGGGGGAUGACGGUACCGGAAGAAUAAGCACCGGCUAACUACGUGCCAGCAGCCGCGGUAAUACGUAGGGUGCGAGCGUUAAUCGGAAUUACUGGGCGUAAAGCGUGCGCAGGCGGUUUGCUAAGACCGAUGUGAAAUCCCCGGGCUCAACCUGGGAACUGCAUUGGUGACUGGCAGGCUAGAGUAUGGCAGAGGGGGGUAUAAUUCCACGUGUAGCAGUGAAAUGCGUAGAGAUGUGGAGGAAUACCGAUGGCGAAGGCAGCCCCCUGGGCCAAUACUGACGCUCAUGCACGAAAGCGUGGGGAGCAAACAGGAUUAGAUACCCUGGUAGUCCACGCCCUAAACGAUGUCAACUAGUUGUUGGGGAUUCAUUUCCUUAGUAACGUAGCUAACGCGUGAAGCUGACCGCCUGGGGAGUACGGUCGCAAGAUUAAAACUCAAAGGAAUUGACGGGGACCCGCACAAGCGGUGGAUGAUGUGGAUUAAUUCGAUGCAACGCGAAAAACCUUACCUACCCUUGACAUGGUCGGAAUCCCGCUGAGAGGUGGGAGUGCUCGAAAGAGAACCGAUACACAGGUGCUGCAUGGCUGUCGUCAGCUCGUGUCGUGAGAUGUUGGGUUAAGUCCCGCAACGAGCGCAACCCUUGUCCUUAGUUGCUACGCAAGAGCACUCUAAGGAGACUGCCGGUGACAAACCGGAGGAAGGUGGGGAUGACGUCAAGUCCUCAUGGCCCUUAUGGGUAGGGCUUCACACGUCAUACAAUGGUCGGAACAGAGGGUUGCCAACCCGCGAGGGGGAGCUAAUCCCAGAAAACCGAUCGUAGUCCGGAUUGCACUCUGCAACUCGAGUGCAUGAAGCUGGAAUCGCUAGUAAUCGCGGAUCAGCAUGCCGCGGUGAAUACGUUCCCCCGCUUUUUGUCACACCGCCCGUCACACCAUGGGAGUGGGUUCACCCCGCCCCCCCCUAGUCUAACCGCAAGGAGGUCCGUCACCCACGGUAGGA